AGUGAACGCUGGCGGUAGGCCUAACACAUGCAAGUCGAACGGCAACACAAUAAGGCCUUCCGCUUCGGUGAGGCGAGGCGGGGGGGGGGGAGAAGUACAGCGAACUCUACUUUUUCGGGGGGGAUCACGUGGGAAAGGUUACUAUAAUAGCGCAUACGACCUACGGGAGAAAGCGGGGGCUUCUGGGACCUUGCCAGCAUGAGUGCGCCGAUGUGGGAUUAGCUAGUAGGUGGGGUAACGGCUCACCUAGGCGACGAUCCGUAGCUGGUCUGAGAGGAUGAUCAGCCACACUGGAACUGAGACACGGUCCAGACUCCUACGGGAGGCAGCAGUGGGGAAUAUUGCACAAUGGGCGCAAGCCUGAUGCAGCCAUGCCGCGUGUAUGAAGAAGGCCUUCGGGUUGUAAAGUACUUUUAUCGGGGAGGAAGAGCGUAAAGUUAAUACCUUUGCUCAUUGACGUUACCCGCAGAAGAAGCACCGGCUAACUCCGUG
rnacentral:rRNA from 1 species